rnacentral:rRNA from 1 species
UACGUAGGGUGCGAGCGUUAAUCGGAAUUACUGGGCGUAAAGCGUGCGCAGGCGGUUCGCCAAGUCAGGUGUGAAAUCCCCGGGCUUAACCUGGGAAUUGCGCUUGAAACUGGCGGGCUUGAGUGUGGCAGAGGGGGGUGGAAUUCCGCGUGUAGCAGUGAAAUGCGUAGAGAUGCGGAGGAACACCGAUGGCGAAGGCAGCCCCCUGGGCUGACACUGACGCUCAGGCACGAAAGCGUGGGGAGCAAACAGG